ACCAUUCAUCUCGACAUCAUAACUUUCUGACUCUGGUUUGGGAUAAACCGAUUCACCUUUAACUUUAUCCGACUCCUCCUCUUUUGCGCUGCUUUUCUGUGUGAAAGAAGAAGGUGGUACCAUUUUGGCUAAGAAAGAGACUACGGAUAAAAUAGGGUUCUUCCCCUGCAAAGAAUCAACCACAGGAUUGGUAUGCACUUUGUCCAUUUUAAAUAAAGCUUUGUCGGAAGAAGGAAGAUUAAGGAAUUUCAAAAUACACUCUUCAACACUUUUUGUGUUCACAUGAGAAGCAACCUUUGCCCAGUCGUCACUAUACAUUUCCACUCCCUCUGACAAAAGAACAAGUUCUUGU